rnacentral:hammerhead_ribozyme from 1 species
AUCCAUCUGACGAGUCUCAUAUAGGACGAAACGCACAUCCUAGAU